rnacentral:rRNA from 1 species
GACGAACGCUGGCGGCGUGCCUAAUACAUGCAAGUCGAACGCUUCUUUCCUCCCGAGUGCUUGCACUCAAUUGGAAAGAGGAGUGGCGGACGGGUGAGUAACACGUGGGUAACCUACCCAUCAGAGGGGGAUAACACUUGGAAACAGGUGCUAAUACCGCAUAACAGUUUAUGCCGCAUGGCAUAAGAGUGAGAGGCGCUUUCGGGUGUCGUUGAUGGAUGGACCCGCGGUGCAUUAGCUAGUUGGUGAGGUAACGGCUCACCAAGGCCACGAUGCAUAGCCGACCUGAGAGGGUGAUCGGCCACACUGGGACUGAGACACGGCCCAGACUCCUACGGGAGGCAGCAGUAGGGAAUCUUCGGCAAUGGACGAAAGUCUGACCGAGCAACGCCGCGUGAGUGAAGAAGGUUUUCGGAUCGUAAAACUCUGUUGUUAGAGAAGAACAAGGACGUUAGUAACUGAACGUCCCCUGACGGUAUCUAACCAGAAAGCCACGGCUAACUACGUG